rnacentral:rRNA from 1 species
CUACGGGAGGCUGCAGUGAGGAAUUUUGCGCAAUGGGGGAAACCCUGACGCAGCAACGCCGCGUGAGUGAUGAAGGCCUUCGGGUCGUAAAACUCUGUCAAGUGGGAAGAACCUAUGUAAGGUUAAUACCCUUAUGUACUGGCGGUACCACUGAAGGAAGCACCGGCUAACUCCGUGCCAGCAGCCGCGGUAAUACGGAGGGUGCAAGCGUUAUUCGGAAUUAUUGGGCGUAAAGGGCGCGCAGGCGGUUUUGUAAGUCAGAUGUGAAAGCCCGGGGCUUAACCUCGGAAGUGCAUUUGAUACUGCAAGACUUGAGUAUGGGAGGGGGAAGUGGAAUUCCUGGUGUAGAGGUGAAAUUCGUAGAUAUCAGGAGGAACACCAGUGGCGAAGGCGACUUCCUGGACCAAUACUGACGCUGAGGCGCGAAGGCGUGGGGAGCAAACAGGAUUAGAUACCCGCGUAGUC